CUGGCUCAGGAUGAACGCUAGCUACAGGCUUAACACAUGCAAGUCGAGGGGCAGCAUUGGGAUAGCUUGCUAUUCAGAUGGCGACCGGCGCACGGGUGAGUAACGCGUAUCCAACCUUCCUGCCAGUAGGGAACAGCCCGGCGAAAGUCGGAUUAAUGCCCUAUGUUCUUCAAUGCGGACAUCUAAGUUGAAGGAAAGAUUCAUCGCUGGCAGAUGGGGAUGCGUCCGAUUAGCUUGCCGGCGGGGUAACGGCCCACCGGGGCGACGAUCGGUAGGGGUUCUGAGAGGAAGGUCCCCCACACUGGUACUGAGACACGGACCAGACUCCUACGGGAGGCAGCAGUGAGGAAUAUUGGUCAAUGGGCGUAAGCCUGAACCAGCCAAGUAGCGUGCAAGGAUGACGGCCCUACGGGUUGUAAACUGCUUUUAUGCGGGGAUAAAGUGCGGCACGUGUGCCGCUUUGCAGGUACCACAUGAAUAAGGACCGGCUAAUUCCGUGCCAGCAGCGGC
rnacentral:rRNA from 1 species